UUGGAGGGCAAGUCUGGUGCCAGCAGCCGCGGUAAUUCCAGCUCCAAUAGCGUAUAUUAAAGUUGUUGCAGUUAAAAAGCUCGUAGUUGAAUUUCGGGGUUAGUAGGUUGGUCAUGCCUCUGGUAUGUACUGGUCUCACUGAUUCCUCCUUCCUGAUGAACCGUAAUGCCAUUAAUUUGGUGUUGCGGGGAAUUUGGACUGUUACUUUGAAAAAAUUAGAGUGUUUAAAGCAAGCUAACGCUUGAAUACAUUAGCAUGGAAUAAUGAAAUAGGACGUUCGAUCCUAUUUUGUUGGUUUCUAGGAUUGACGUAAUGAUUAAUAGGGAUAGUUGGGGGCAUUAGUAUUCAAUUGUCAGAGGUGAAAUUCUUGGAUUUAUUGAAGACUAACUACUGCGAAAGCAUUUGCCAAGGAUGUUUUCAUUAAUCAAGAACGAAAGUUAGGGGAUCGAA
rnacentral:rRNA from 1 species